UACUUCCUUCUCACUUUGCCAGUUGGACUUUUAUCAAUUUUGGUCAUUCAAGUGGAUGAAGCUAAGUACACAUCCUUUUAUAAUUCAAAGCAAGCUGAGUGUUUUCCUUACCUAUUAAUAGAGGAAACAACA